rnacentral:lncRNA from 1 species
UGCAGAUUGUUUAAUAUGCAUGUAUACAACCAUAGUACUUCAAAAUUUAGUGAAGGAAAAAGAAAGGAAGAGAAAUUUUUUGAAUCUAUUCAUAUUUGUUUGUCCACUACAUUAUGGAAAUCCAAGCUGAAAAUUCAAAGCAUUAAUCAUUUGAUAAAGAACCCAACUCAAUUAACUCAUAAUAAUCAACACUCACUUGGCGAUUAAGAGUUGUAGGAUCAUGUCUCGCCCAGAAAACAUAAGGCAGAGCCUCAAAACUACACUCUCUGGAAGUCCAAUUAAACUCCCCCAAAAACAACCCAUCCCGAAUUACGCGAACUACGAAAUCAUCAAGUCCCUGCCCUGUCGAAGAAUCAAAAGAGGAAUCCAUAGAAGAGUCAGUGGAAUUGCGCACAUAAAUCUGAACUUGUACAGCCAGCUCAUUCUCUUCUUGGAUUUGGAGAGGUGAAAUUAAUGGAAGGAAAUCGAGGGUUUAGAAUGGAAGGGAGGACAGAGAACGUGGUUAUGGCAGUGGGGAUGGUGAUUUUGAAGAUCAUCUUGAAAAGUUGUUACAUGUAAGUGUAAGUAAUGGUUGAGUGAAGUGAUUGAACAAAAAAAAAAAAAAAAAGGAGGAAGGAAGGUUGACGAUUAGCUUCUCUGCGCGGAGGCCUCAAACGGAGUUGCUGCUUCCGUGCCGGCUCCGUGCGCUGCUCCGCGCUAAUGCUCACGAGCUCCGUGCACACACGGAGCUAGAGAGAAAUAGUGGGAAAAAAAUAAAAAUAAAAUAAACAAUGCGCACAGCAGACUAGCAAAUCCGGGGCAAUGUAGCACGGAGCUGGA